GUUCUAGCCUGGAAAACAAGAUGAGAGAA
rnacentral:piRNA from 1 species